rnacentral:miRNA from 1 species
GCAUUUGCAUUACCAAUACACA